ACAGAUGAUUCAUAUGUAUUUUCUGAGACUUCUUCAGAGAACCUUAUAUCAUUAGUGUUUCUUAGGUUAGCUAACUCCUGUACCUGCUUUGGAAUUUAAAAUAACAAUGUUUCACUGAGCAUGGGACCAGCAGUUGAUGGAGAGUGGUAA